rnacentral:lncRNA from 1 species
UUCCUGCCACAGUGGUGGCUAGAGAAGUACACACCUGAGUAUAAUGGAGACCUCUAGCCUCUAAUCAUGGGCACUAAAGGGGAUUGCAGACUUGAAGGGAUUGAACCAACUACCUGCAAGUCAUGGGCAUUCAAUGUUUUAAGGAUGGCCAUAUUCGCCAAAGCAUAAUGGAAGAUGUUGAUGAAACCACACUGUUGAAACAAAUGGAGCGGGAGAAAAUGCCUCCUCCUCCAAAGCCAAAGGAAACGUUUGUGAGUGAAAGGUGUUGCUAUUAAUCCUUACUCAGGAACAACCACCAUAAACCAAGAAUAUCCCAGGCCAACAAGGACGUAGUUGUUGUAUUCAAAGCUGCAAUAAAUAGAGAUUGACUCAUCCUGGGCUAUCUUCUUCUCCCAUUUCCUUACGAGUCUGGGAAAGGUGGGUGACUGAGGCAUGGAGACUUGGAUGUAGGAAAGAGAAACCCUGAAAAGUGGAAAGCAGACAUGCAACAUUGGAGCAUGGCAUGCCCCCCACUGACAAGGUACUGGCAGCAAAAAAGAUCCAGUCCUGAUGGUGGGGCAAUGCACACUACUGCACGUGACCCUCAGAGCUUUGAUCAUUCAGUGCUGGUGGAGGCAGGUGCUGGCAAGGCUGCAGGCGAAAAGGCAGCGGGCAGCACUGGAGCUCUGUGCAUGGCAGCUAUGGGCAGCAGUCGGGCUGCAGUCCUGGGUCCGCAUGUGGCAUGUCCGCUGGCGUUACUGUCGUUUGCUCAACGCUAUCCGCAUCAUCCAGGUCUAUUGGCGCUGGAGAAGUUGCCAUACCCGUGGCUUUUUCCAUGGCAGCUACGAGCUCACAACAAGCCAGCUGAGCCUUGAGCUUGACAUCUUCCUGGGAUCACAGAUUUGCCGAAUUACAGACUGCAUCCCCUUCCCAAUAAAGAAGUGACAAGGUGCUCCAACU